CCUCUACGCCCUGCCCUAGCUACCCCGACCACUCCGGCAUAGGCCGCGCCGGCGGCGGCGGUGACGCCGUAUCAUCCCGGUACCACGAGCAAUGGGGAGGAGAUGUUCUCCCAGGAGAGGAGAUGACAGCAGGGGACGAAGCGCUUCUAGGAGAAGUUCUGGUGAGCAAGGAGGAAACAAGGAACAAGGUUCUAUAAGCCUGUUGGUGCGUAACAUCUCCCAUGACUGCAGCUAUGAUCUUCUAGCUGCUUUCCAAAAAUUUGGUCGUAUCCGGGAUUUUUACAUUCCAAAAGACUAUUACAGUGGGGAGCCAAGAGGGUUUGCUUUUAUCGAGUUUUGGGACUCCCAUGACGCUUCUGAGGCACAACGUCGCAUGAACCAUAAGAUGGUUUGUGGACGUGAGAUUAUCGUUGU